rnacentral:ncRNA from 1 species
CUCAUCAAGAGAUAGUGGAGGGAAUGGCCCGAUGAAGCUACGGCAACCACACAGGUGUGAACGGUGCCAAGUCCUGCAAUGAAAAUUGU